CCUACGGGAGGCAGCAGUGGGGAAUAUUGCGCAAUGGGCGAAAGCCUGACGCAGCGACGCCGCGUGAGGGAAGAAGGUCUUCGGAUCGUAAACCUCUGUCAGCAGGGAAGAACGGUCACUGUGCUAAUCAGCAGUGAAUUGACGGUACCUGCAAAGGAAGCACCGGCUAACUCCGUGCCAGCAGCCGCGGUAAUACGGAGGGUGCGAGCGUUAAUCGGAAUUACUGGGCGUAAAGCGCUCGUAGGCGGUAUGUCAAGUCAAGGGUGAAAUCCCCGCGCUUAACGUGGGAACUGCCUUUGAUACUGGGAAACUUGAGUGUGUGAGGGGAGAGUGGAAUUCCAGGUGUAGGGGUGAAAUCCGUAGAGAGCUGGAGGAACAUCGGUGGCGAAGGCGACUAUCUGGCACAUAACUGACGCUGAUGAGCGAAAGCGUGGGUAGCAAACAGGAUUAGAUACCCCAGUAGUC
rnacentral:rRNA from 1 species